ACGAACGCUGGCGGCGUGCUUAACACAUGCAAGUCGAACGGUGAAGCGCCUUCCUUUUUGGUGGGUGUGGAUGAGUGGCGAACGGGUGAGUAACACGUGAGUAACCUGCCCCCUUCUUCUGGAUAACCGCAUGAAAGUGUGGCUAAUACGGGAUAUUCUGGGUCUGUCGCAUGAUGGGUCUGGGAAAGAUAUUGUUUCGGUGGGGGAUGGGCUCGCGGCCUAUCAGCUUGUUGGUGGGGUGAUGGCCUACCAAGGCGGUGACGGGUAGCCGGCCUGAGAGGGUGGACGGUCACACUGGGACUGAGACACGGCCCAGACUCCUACGAGAGGCAGCAGUGGGGAAUAUUGCACAAUGGGCGCAAGCCUGAUGCAGCGACGCCGCGUGAGGGAUGGAGGCCUUCGGGUUGUGAACCUCUUUCGCCAGUGAAGCAGGCCUGCCUCGUUUGUGGGUGGGUUGACGGUAGCUGGAGAAGAAGCGCCGGCUAACUACGUG
rnacentral:rRNA from 1 species